rnacentral:rRNA from 1 species
UACAGAGGGUGCAAGCGUUGUUCGGAAUUAUUGGGCGUAAAGGGCGCGUAGGCGGUGCUGUAAGUCUGUAGUGAAAUCUCUGGGCUCAACUCAGAGUCUGCUAUAGAAACUGCAGUGCUGGAGUGUGGGAGAGGUGAGUGGAAUUCCCGAUGUAGCGGUGAAAUGCGUAGAUAUCGGGAGGAACACCUGUGGCGAAAGCGGCUCACUGGACCACAACUGACGCUGAGGCGCGAAAGCUAGGGGAGCAAACAGG